rnacentral:other from 1 species
AGGGUUCUGCAGUGCUCGUGUUAGAAGCAAAAAUUUAUUGAAAACUACAACGUCCAAUAGGGAACUUUCUUUUGCUGGCCUGUAUCUUUACAUAAAGUGAGGAUUGGUUGUCAAAGAGUGCCCACCUUGAAAAAGGGUUGACGAUAAUAUUCUUCUCACGGCAUUAAGCGGAACCUUU